GGAAGGGUGCCUGAGUGGUUUAAAGGGACGGUCUUGAAAACCGUUGUGCCUUAAUGGGUACCGAGAGUUCGAAUCUCUCCCCUUCCG
rnacentral:tRNA from 3 species